rnacentral:rRNA from 1 species
AUGCAAGGUCGAGUGAAGCACUUUGGUAGAAUUAAAAAGUACGUGAGGGCAGAAAGGGAAGCGCUUGCAGCCAGACUUGUCCGCAGGGCUACAACCGGUCUCCUGACCGGUGUACUCUUCUGCGGCCAGGCCAGCAUCAGUUCGGGCGGUCGGAUAAAGGCCCUGGGAAUGUAGCUCCUCUCGGGGAGUGUUAUAGCCCAGGGUGGAAUGCGGCCAGCCUGGACUGAGGAUCUCGCUUCGGCUAGGAUGCUGGCGUAAUGGCUGUAAGCGGCCCGUCUUGAAACACGGACCAAAAC